AGAUAGGGCCAGCAAAUCGGCGAGAAAGCCCACCCGGGCAUGUUACGUAUAGAAUCCAGCAUCAACUAACAUCUCUUCCAUAGGCUCAUGCUUUCUUUAGCGGGGGCCCGGGCGAGUUCUUGGACCAGUCCUCCUUUCCCCCCAAGGAAUCCCGGGGGGGGCGGAUGCGUAGUUGAUUCGAUCAAGGGGGCGCCCGUCGGUCGAUUGUUUCUCUCAUUCCUCCCGUUGCUUCUCCCAACUGGCCCCCCACCGCCCCUAUCUCUACCCCCCACUAUAGAGGCAGGGACUAAUAACAAACAGUCUAAUAAUGUCGUGACACACAGUUGGUCCCACAUCUGACAGCCACAUAUACCCAACGAAACUUCUCGCUUUUUUUGAAGUUUUUCUUUCUCUGUUCAGACGGUGAUAAUGACGAUGAUGAUGACGGUGACAGGACAGGGUAGCUUCUUACGGCAGGGAAACCGUAAUUUCCUUUUGUGGCCCUAAAUCCAACCUUCGGUGGAUAGAUCAGGCCCUAAUUAUCAGAAAGGCAAGGCAGGUUCAAGGUUGGACCCGAGUCAACAUCAGAACGAGCUGGUCCACAUAAGGAUCAAAGAUCAAAACAAAGGUCUUCGUAAAGCAAAGGUGGAUCAGCAUUCAAGAAAUACACAAUAUCAAGACAACAAACACACUGCAAAGGAGGAGAAAGAGCAAACACAAGUGUAGAAAUCAUGUUUCAAGGAUGAAUAAUAAACACCUUCAAGGAUGCUGUUGAAUGAAGAAUGUGAAGAUAGCAAAGGCCAUGCAAGAUCAGGAGCUAAGAUAUUCAAAGAAUUCAUGAUGAUGGAGGAAACAUUAAGGCAAUCUUGAAUUUCCUUUGGAAAUCCAAGAACCAUUGCCAAUAUAGGAAGAAAGUAAUCCGAGAUGGAAGCUUCAAGGUGAAGGUUGUCAAGUCAAAAAGACGAUGCAAUUUGGGAAUAUCUCCCACCAUCAUCUCAUUCCUUCCAUCUUCACUGUAGGCGCUUGGAAAUGUUGAGUAUCAAGAGAUAUGCCUCAAUCAACUACAACUUUUGCUAAGUUACAAGAAGCAAGUAGCUCAAGUGGUGUGCCCAGUCAUCACCAACUCAUCUUCACACAUCAUUUCAAGUCAAGGUGUCUAGAUUCAAUGCACCCAAUUCAUCCAACGAGGCGGAUAACUACCACAUGUUGGCACAAAGUUCGAUGUACCUACCAUCAUCAUCUAUUGGUCGAACAUUCAAGGAAGGAUGUGUCUUAUUUUUGUAGUUUUAUCAUUGGUUGAGCAUUAAAUGCUAUGUAAUGGGUGUAACAAACCCUGAUUAGGGUUUUCAUCUUGUAAUCUCGACCAUUGAUUGUGAAUCCAUUUGAGCCACUCAUUGUAAAGAGCUAUUUGUAUAAGGCUCAAUUUACUCAUUUGUAAAGGUUAAUAGUUCAGCAAUAGUCAAUAGUCAAUAGUUAGAUAGCAACUAGAUUGGAGUAGGAGAAAAUUAUUGUCAAGACUUUGUUGCUAGAAACAUGUUAAUAUUCAUUGAAGAUAUGGUGAGUUUCAUGUGUUGAUUCAA